rnacentral:lncRNA from 1 species
CCGUCCGCUCUAUGUUCACCAGCGGCACCCUCUUCAAUCUCGUCUUCGAUUCCGUCCGCUCCUCUCCACCGAAAAACGGCUGAAUCGCCAACAUUCCGACCACCUUCAGCUCCCGAAACUCGUGCCCGCUCGCUCUGAUCGCCACGUGGUGCGCUAUGUUCCCGCCGGCGCUGUCCCCGGCCAGAAAACACUGCCCGAGAUUCGCGCCCUCG